rnacentral:lncRNA from 1 species
UUGUCUCCAUUGACAAGAUUAGCGUGAGAGUAGCCAUCACAUACAGGAUCGGUGUGAUAGUCCUUAUCGAAAAAUCGAUUUCCUUUGUGUUUUUAUUGUCUUCUUCUCCAUUUGUAUUGGUUGCGAUUCUGUGAUUUCUUUCUGUUAUUCUACAAUUUCUUUUUGUUUUAGUAUUUCAUUUUUGUAUAAGCAUAUUAGCGACUUAAAUUCUUGUCGGAAAACUAUCACCAUUAUGGAUGUUAUUUAUGCUCUGAAGAGAUAAGGUAGAACUCUCGAUUCUGUUUGGAUUGAUAUUGAUACAAUAUAUCCAUAUUAUUUAUGCUCUGAAGAGACAAGGUGGAACUCUCGAUUCUGUUUGGAUUGA